rnacentral:lncRNA from 1 species
CCUGGAGGUAGAGGGAGGAGAAAUGAGACCAACUCAGGCCGGUGGCCAAGGUGAGGCCUGCGGGUAGGGGGCGCAGUGCCUGGCACACGAACAGCACUUUAUUUUCUGAAUAAAUAACUGAUUACUUGGUUCAUCUCUGGGAACAUUGAGUUUGCUAUUGAGUUGCCCCAUCAAACUCGGUCCACAGGUCAAUCCCCAGCUUCAAUAUCUCACCCCAUGAUCGAUCUCUUUCGCUGAAGUCAGGAGUGACAGCAAUUAACUCCUGCGCUGCACCGUCCCCAGGGCCAGAUGCCACGUGAGAGACCCCAGGCUGGAGCGAGAACUGCAAAUGUUCACAGUUCCAUGGGACCGCGGGGGAAAUUUACACCUCCUUCCCCUACUGCUUGUGCUUCCUUUCGCUUUGAAGUUCUGUGGCUCCGCACUGGAGUUGGGGAGGCAAGUCCUCCAGCCUCGGGCUUUUAAUAUUCACAUCACAUCCUCUUUGCAGCUACUUUGGGAGGAAUGAAAGCUACAAAGGACGUUUGGGUGACCUCCCCACAACACAAGGUGGGGUGGGGGGUUUCAACCCACACUGCCCCAUCUUGAAUCGCCAUGGAUGACCAAGUAGUUGAAACACGACUGGGGACUUAGGUGCCAGUCCUUCUAGGCAGAAGGGCCCUCUUGGGGGUUUUCAAUGAAAGGAAGAGUGUGAGGCAUUAAGAAGCCUGAGGAAGGGAGGAGAGAGGGGCUAGGGGCUCCCGCCUGGGAACAGGGAACUGCAAGAGGGCCUGUUCAGUGCUUUGGCCUAACUCGAAGUGGUGCUGCUAAGGAGGUGACUGGUGUCCUGGUUUCCACUGGUCAUGGUUUGAUGAGCAUUUCUUCGAAGAUGUGAACUGCCUACCCCAACGGCCCAGCUCUUGGCCCAACAGUCUACACCACGCUCAAGAUUGUCAAGAGGUCAUUGUGCUUGUUGGAUGGCUAGUUAACUCUUUACUCACCACUUCUUCCCUGACCCUCUUCUUGUAAAUUUCUAAAACUAGCAAUACAAGAUUCAAAUCUAAAUCAUCAUACAGAACUGC